GUCCCAGUAGUGCAAUGCAUUGCUCAUUAGACUUUUAAUCCAAAGGUCGUGGGUUCAAAUCCUAUCUGGGAUG